ensembl:lncRNA
GUCUGUUCCAUUUUAUACUCUUUUUUUUAAUGUUUACACACAAUACUAGACAGCCGGCUCCAGCCUCCUCGCCUCGCUCCGCAGUCUCUCGCUGUCGCCGGAUUUCUCCUACUUAAAAGCCGAGCCAAACCACGCCCGCCACCACAGUUGCGUACGCUUGCUCCACCAGCAACUCCUGGGUCAUCCACCGCCGACAACGUAGUUCUCACUACCCUGCAGUCCCUGGUGAGUUCUAUGCACACCAUUGAUGCUCUCCUGCAGUCCUAACCCGAAGACGCGACAAGUCAGUCCACAGCAGCAGCCACCGUCGCCGCCAAAAAGGGCUCCAUGCUACAGGCAGCCGCUUUGCGCACUCAGCCUUCCACGUCAGCACAAAUAGAAGUCACCCAACAUUCGCUGGCCUCUGCAUUCCCGGCUCCAGCAAUGGGU